rnacentral:rRNA from 1 species
AUUGAACGCUGGCGGCAGGCCUAACACAUGCAAGUCGAGCGGAUGAAGGGAGCUUGCUCCUGGAUUCAGCGGCGGACGGGUGAGUAAUGCCUAGGAAUCUGCCUGGUAGUGGGGGAUAACGUCCGGAAACGGGCGCUAAUACCGCAUACGUCCUGAGGGAGAAAGUGGGGGAUCUUCGGACCUCACGCUAUCAGAUGAGCCUAGGUCGGAUUAGCUAGUUGGUGAGGUAAAGGCCUACCAAGGCGACGAUCCGUAACUGGUCUGAGAGGAUGAUCAGUCACACUGGAACUGAGACACGGUCCAGACUCCUACGGGAGGCAGCAGUGGGGAAUAUUGGACAAUGGGCGAAAGCCUGAUCCAGCAAUGCCGCGUGUGUGAUGAAGGUCUUCGGAUUGUAAAGCACUUUAAGUUGGGAGGAAGGGAAGUAAGUUAAUACCUGGCUGUUUUGACGUUACCAACAGAAUAAGCCCCGGCUAACUACGUG